UACAGAGGGGGCAAGCGUUGUUCGGAAUUACUGGGCGUAAAGGGCGCGUAGGCGGCCUUCUAAGUCGAACGUGAAAUCCCCGGGCUCAACCCGGGAACUGCGUCCGAUACUGGAAGGCUUGAAUCCGGGAGAGGGAUGUGGAAUUCCAGGUGUAGCGGUGAAAUGCGUAGAUAUCUGGAGGAACACCGGUGGCGAAGGCGCCAUCCUGGACCGGUAUUGACGCUGAGGCGCGAAAGCCAGGGGAGCAAACGGG
rnacentral:rRNA from 1 species